CGGCGGAGAUAUUACGUCUCGAUGUGUCAGAGGGAGUCAGGGCGAGUCUUGACUGCAGACAUCGUCGAGUAGCAACCAGGAUGCGCAUCAAUAUGAAGACAAACCUUCGCAUUUCUCCAAACGAUUUAUCAUCGACAAACUUGUGACAGCUCAGAUCAACACACACGAGGGAGACCAGCGAGCAAAGAACUGACGUGACAGUUUUGAUUUUGAGGCCUCUCGACAUUUUUCUGCUCUUCAGUCCUUUUUACUCUAAGAGUCCAUCCUCAGCCCCCGACGUGAACCAGCCAUGUCCGGGAAGGAGCGCAGCCCCCGCCACCGGCCGUGGUCGGUCUACCGGGCCAACACGUUUGAUCUCUCAGCUGAGAUGAUGGGGCUGGCUCUCUCGGGCAACAGUCAGGAUCCAGACGAGCCUGUGCUGGAGUUCAGUGUGG